AGCCUUUAUUCUCUCCAUCUUCCUCGUUCUCAGAUCUCAUCAUCUCUCUCCGAUUUUCUCUCUCAAAAAUGGAUAGCUAGCUAGGAUAUUAAGUUAAAUACCCAGACACCCAGUCAUCUCGCGACAAAAGCAGCAUCUUACGCGGAGAGCUUUGCCGCUGUUGACAGAACUUGCAAGAUCAGAGGAAAAGCUUGCUGGUGUUCGGAUUGAUGGGAAAUGCAAAUACAAGGACUCAGAUGUCGUUUUAAUACUGGGAUUGGGAUCCAUCAAUUGUUGCCGGAUGGUACCCAGCUAAUUGUUCAUGGAUCUUAGAUCUACAGUACAGUGCUUAAAGUUAGAAGCUGUGCAAUGUAAUGGAAUUGAUGACCGCAGCAAACAAAUCAAGAUUCAUAAAGAGAUGAGUAGCUGAAACUGGAUCUCAUUUGCAACAAUACUUGUGUAUGAUUUACUGCAAUAAGAUCCCAGAUUUGCAAAAUCACAAUGAAGAGUGAUGAAGGAAAGAUCCCAGAUUUGCGAAAUCUCAAUGUAGGACAAAGAAGGAAAGAUCCCAGAUUUGCAAAAUUUCAAUGAAGAAGUGAAGAACGAUGAAGGAAAGAUCCCAGAUUUGCAAAAUCUCAAUAAAGGACCUAAAACAACAUGAAAAUAAAUGGAGGACCUAAAAAUAAAUAUCUAAAUAAUUCAAUAAAUUGAUGAAUUAUAUUUAAUCUGGAAAUUACGAAAAUUCAAUGGUUUGUAAAUUUGGAAAUUAAUAUAAUUGAUUCCUAUGGGACC